rnacentral:lncRNA from 1 species
AAAGAUUUGAGAGAUGGGAAAAGACAUGUUUUUUUAUGGUUUUUUGUGUUUGCCAAGACCUUUUAAAGUAUCACGCCUACAUACCAACAAAAUGCAAUGGAGGAUCAAAAUCUCGUAGUUCGUGGUAAAAAUAACAAAUAUGUUUGUUUUGAUUCAUUUUUUUUGGAAAGACAUUUUGUCAUUUUAAGGAGAAUACUCAACUAGUCACCCACAAGUAUGGGAAUUUUGUAUCAUCAUGAGAAGGGCUCCAACU